CUCUACAGCCCUGGCCUCAGGGAGGAUGGCGUUCUGCUCCCCAGCACCCCUGUAAUUAAUCAUGUGGGCUGCUCUCCCAGUCAGGCCCAGUUCUGGCCCCUCCAGCCCACCCUGUUGCCAGGCCCCAACAGAGCCAUCGUGUCCCCUGGUCAGAAGCCAGUGACCAACUCAAAAUAACUAUUUCCCUUCCCUCCAACACAACUGUCCUUCCUGGGGAGGACAACAGCUGCAAGGGAUUAGGGGUGGGGAACAGAACCAGAGAGCCCCCCACCCUCAGCCCUACACCCAGGCCCAAACCCACAGAGCUGGAGGCCGGAGCAACGAGUGCUGGGGGUCUUGGUCAUAGGGGCUCUCGAGGCCACAUUCAGAGUCCCCACCCUGCACAAACACGAGAGCUGCAUGUCCUCACGAACCUUCACCUGGCAGGUGGCAUUUCCCCCCUCCCUUGGCCUUUUCCCCUCUACCUCACCCUGUGAACUUUGAAGACAAUCUUCCAAUGGGACUGAGAUGAGAUAUAUGUUAGCAAGUAAAUAAAUAUUAUCUGCUC